rnacentral:rRNA from 1 species
ACUGGGCGUAAAGCGCAUGCAGGUGGUUUGUUAAGUCAGAUGUGAAAGCCCGGGGCUCAACCUCGGAACUGGCAUUUGAAACUUGGCUAGACUAGAGUACUGUAGAGGGGGUAGAAUUUCAGGUGUAGCGGUGAAAUGCGUAGAGAUCUGAAGGAAUACCGGUGGCGAAGGCGGCCCCCUGGACAGAUACUGACACUCAGAUGCGAAAGCGUGGGGAGCAAACAGGAUUAGAUACCCUGGGAG